GCUCUUAAGGGCAGUUUGCCUGGGCUGGAAGAAUGGGUACAUUAGAUGUAUUCCAAACAGCCAGCUUGGGCAUGAAUACACUGCCCCAUCAGCUUUCUGGGAACUGGCACAAUAAAAUCACUUCCUGAAGUUAGAAGGUAGAGAGAACUCCAACAAGGGUAUAAAUAGUGCACAGAGUAGUUCUGCUAAAACGACAGGAUCCAGAGACACUCUCAGUCUUGGAAAUCCUACCAACAAGGAUUCAGGAAGGAUUCGCCCUCAGGCUGAUUCUGGACCAAAACAAACAGAACAUUCCACCUGGCAGCAGCCAAGUCCCCAGCACUAUUGUGCCAAGGAGACUCUUUGAUUUGCCUCAAGCCCAGAGAAUAAACUACGAUUCCAGGGGACAGCUGACUCCAGCCCAUCUACCAUGCUCCAGUAGAGACCUUCAGGUGACCCAGGUCAACACCAAGCCACCCUCUGGAGGAUCUGAUGCUGCCUCAGAAACAACACCUCAUGCCUCAUCAGAUACUAAUGGAAAUGUGGGAUACAGGCUUUUAAUAUGUGGCAAUCACAUUAAUUUCUCUGAUCCUCAAUUUAUUGCUUUGUAAAAUGAGUGUGAGCUGGGUUUCUGAACUGUGUCUCCCAAUGCUACAGGCAGUGUAGGAUCCUGGGAAGAAUAUGGUGUUUUUGAACACAGAUGUGCUUUUGUGUUUUUGUUUUUGUUUUUGUUUUGUUUUUUUGACAAAGUCGCUCUGUCACCAGGCUGGAGUUCAGUGGCGUGAUCUCUGCUCACUGCAACCCCCGACUCCCUGGUUCAAGCGAUUCUCCUGCCUCAGCUUCCUGAGUAGCUGGGAUUACAGGCGUGUGCCACCACGCCCAGUUAAUUUUUGUAUUUUUAGUAGAGACGGGGUUUCACCAUGUUGGCCAGGAUGGUCUCGAUCUCCCGACCUCGUGAUCUGUCCGCCUCGGCCUCCCAAAGUGCUGGGAUUACAGGCGUGAACCACCGCACCCGGCUGAUGUGCUUUAAAUCCCAUCCUUGCCAUUUAUAUGAUUCUGAUGGGUUCAGGACACAUUACCCCAAGGUAUAGCAGCUUGGUAUCUGAGAAAACAGCAGAAGCAGGAAAGUCUCUCAUUUUCUCCUCACCUUUCCCCAAAGCAGGUGAUAAGAUCCUCAUUCCAGGGGUAUCCUCCUAAUGUCCAGAGAAAAGGAACUACUCUACCUCUGAAGAGAUAGAGAAUAAUCUGAACAAACAGACCUUGUUAAGUUUCCCCAGUUUGUUACCAUUACAUCAUACCCCCUUUGUCCGAUACUUCACCACAACUGUCCAUUUCUUCAUCAAACUUAGUAUAAAAAUCUGUUUCCUUGUGUCUUUGGGUUUUCAUUUCUGAAAGUUCCUGUGUCACAUAAAACUUGUAUUACAUAAAUUCGUAUGCUUUUCACUGAUUAACCUUUUAUUAUAGAUACCUCAGCUAUAAACUCUGGAGGUGCAAGAAAAGAUUUCUUCUCCCCUACAAACCUGAUCAUGUUUUCUAAGAUUUUUCUUUAGGAAAAUGCAGCUAUGAAAUUUAUUUCACAAUGUUUUCUGAGGGUGAAAAGAAAUCGAGUUAGUGAAAGAGGCACAUAGAGUGCUCAAUCAUGAUGCUAAUUCCCAUCCUUGAUUACAAAAAUACAAACCUACAUAUUCCAUAGUCAUUAGAAACUUGUACACACACAGAAAAAGGACAAGAUAAAUAUAUAUUAAACUCUUAAAGUUUUUAUUUCUAGAGAUUAACAUUGAAGUGAUUAACAUUUUCUUCAUUAUGCCCCCCGUAGUUUCCAAAUUUUCUAAAAUAAACCUUUAUGACUGUUAUUACUUUUUCUUGUGGUAAAUGAUACAUAACAUAAAACUGGCCAUUUAAAACAUUUUUAAGUGUAUAUCUCAAUGGCAUUAAGUACAUUCAUCCCCUUGUGCAACCAUCAUCACCAUUCAUGUCUGGAACCUUCUUAUCACAAACAGAUACUCUUUACGCAUUAAAUCAUAAAUCCCUAUUCUCCCCCGCUGCCCCAUCCAUUAAAGACAUGGAUGUCUUUAAUGUUCAUCCAUGUCGUGGCAUGUAUCAGUUCAUUCCUUUCUAAGGCUGAAUAAUAGUCCGUGUGUAUAUACCACAUUUUGUUUAUCCAUUCAUCCAUCUGUGAAUAUUUUUAUUGUUUCUGUUUUUUAUCUAUUGUGACAUAGGAAUGCAAACAUCUGUUUGAAUCUCUGCUUUCAGUUCUUUUGGGUCCAUACCCAGAAGUGGAAUUGCUUGAUUAUAUCAUAAUUCUGCGUUUAAUUUUUUGAGGAACUGUACUGUUUUCCACAGUGGCUCUGCCAUUUUACAUUUCUACAAGCCAUGCUCGCAAAGCUUCCAAUUUCCUCACAUCCUUGUCAACACUUGUUAUUUUUCGUUGUUUUGUUUCUAAUAGCCAUCCUAAUGGGUGUGAAGUAUAACUGAUCAUUGUAGUUGUUGCAUUUCCCUGAUGUGUUGACUUGCAUUUCCCUAAUGAUUAGUGAUGUUGAG
rnacentral:lncRNA from 1 species